AUCUCUAUGGGUCUCUAUGGGUCUCUAUGGGUCUCUAUGGGUCUCUAUGGGUCUCUAUGGGUCCCUAUGGGUCUCUAUGGGUCUCUAUGGGUCUCUAUGGGUCCCUAUGGGUCUCUUUGGGUCUCUAUGGGACACUAUGGGGCAGUUAUGGGUCCCUAUGGGUCUCUAUGGGUCUCUAUGGGUCCCUAAGGCUCUCUAUGGGUCCCUAUGGGUCUCUAUGGGUCCCUAUGGGGCAGCUAUGGGGCUCUAUGGGUCACUAUGGGUCUCUAUGGGGCACUAUGGGUACCUAUGGGGCAGCUUAUGGGGCACUAUGGGUCUCUAUGUGUCCCUUUGGAUGACUAUGGGUCUCUAUGGGUCACUAUGGGGCAGCUAUGGGUCUCUAUGGGUCUCUACAGGGCAGCUAUGGGGCAGCAAUGGGUCUCUAUGGGGCUCUAUUGGGCUCUAUGGGUCCCUAUGGGUCUCUGUGGGUCAAUAUGGGGCAGCUAUGGGUCUCUAUGGGGCAGAUAUGGGGCUCUAUGGGGCUCUAUUGGGCUCUGUGUGUCCCUAUGGGUCCCUAUGGGUCUCUAUGGGUCUCUAUGGGUCACUAUGGGGCAGCUGUGGGUCGCUAUGGGGCAGCUAUGGGUCUCUAUGGGGCAGCUAUGGGUCUCUAUGGGUCCUUUUGGAUGACUAUGGGUCUCUAUGGGUCACUAUGGGUCCCUAUGGGGUCUCUAUGGGGCAGCUAUGGGUCUCUAUGGGUCUCUUUGUGUCUCUAUGGGGC
rnacentral:lncRNA from 1 species